UACAGAGGGUGCAAGCGUUAAUCGGAAUUACUGGGCGUAAAGCGCGCGUAGGUGGCCAUUUAAGUCAAAUGUGAAAUCCCCGAGCUUAACUUGGGAAUUGCAUUCGAUACUGGAUGGCUAGAGUAUAGGAGAGGAAGGUAGAAUUCCAGGUGUAGCGGUGAAAUGCGUAGAGAUCUGGAGGAAUACCGAUGGCGAAGGCAGCCUUCUGGCCUAAUACUGACACUGAGGUGCGAAAGCAUGGGGAGCAAACAGG
rnacentral:rRNA from 1 species